UCCCUGGUAGCUCAGAUGGUAAAGCGUCUGCCUACAAUGCGGGAGACCCGGGUUCGAUCCCUGGGUUGAGAA
rnacentral:tRNA from 1 species